CAGGAUAUAGCGUAGCCUGGUAUCGCGCCUGUUUUGGGAAUAGGAGAUCGCAGGUUCAAAUCCUGCUAUCCUGA
rnacentral:tRNA from 1 species